AACGAACGCUGGCGGCAUGCCUAACACAUGCAAGUCGAACGAGAUCUUCGGGUCUAGUGGCGCACGGGUGCGUAACGCGUGGGAAUCUGCCCUUUGGUUCGGAAUAACAGUUGGAAACGACUGCUAAUACCGGAUGAUGACGAAAGUCCAAAGAUUUAUCGCCAGAGGAUGAGCCCGCGUAGGAUUAGCCAGUUGGUGUGGUAAAGGCGCACCAAGGCGACGAUCCUUAGCUGGUCUGAGAGGAUGAUCAGCCACACUGGGACUGAGACACGGCCCAGACUCCUACGGGAGGCAGCAGUGGGGAAUAUUGGACAAUGGGCGAAAGCCUGAUCCAGCAAUGCCGCGUGAGUGAUGAAGGCCUUAGGGUUGUAAAGCUCUUUUACCCGGGAUGAUAAUGACGGUACCGGGAGAAUAAGCUCCGGCUAACUCCGUGCCAGCCGCCGCGGUAA
rnacentral:rRNA from 1 species